GAUGAACGCUGGCGGCGUGCUUAACACAUGCAAGUCGAACGAUGAAGCCCAGCUUUCUGGGUGGUUUAGUGGCGAACGGGUGAGUAACACGCGAGUAACCUGCCCUUCACUCUGGGAUAAGCCUGGGCAACUGGGUCUAAUACUUGAUAUAACUUCUCAUCGCCCGGUGGGGGGUGGAAAGAUUUAUUGGUCUUGGAUGGACUCUCGGCCUAUCAGCUUGUUGGUGAGUUAAUGGAUCACCAAGGCGACGACGGGUAGCCGGCCUGAGAGGGUGAGCGGCCACACUGGGACUGAGAGACGGCGCAGACUGCUACGGGAGGCAGCAGUGGGGAAUAUUGCACAGAGGGCGCAAGCCUGAUGCAGAGGCGCCGCGAGAGGGAUGACGGCCUUCGGGUUGUAAACCUCUUUCAGUAGGGAAGAAGCGGGAGUGACGGUACCUGCAGAAGAAGCGCCGGCUAACUACGUG
rnacentral:rRNA from 1 species